GGUAGCGAAAUCACUUGUCUUUUAAAUGAGGACCUGUAUGAAUGGUGGAACGAGGGCUUAACUGUCUCCUUUUUUAGGUCAGUGAAAUUGAUCUGCCCGUGCAGAAGCGGACAUAAAUAUACAAGACGAGAAGACCCUUUGGAGCUUAAGACAUACAGUCAACUGUGUUAAACAUUUCACUUAAAAAACUUAAACAAAACAAUAACUGACCCUACGUCUUCGGUUGGGGCGACCAUGGGGGAAAACAAAGCCUCCACGUAGAAUGGGACACUCCCUAAAACUAAGAGAGACAUCUCUAAGUCACAGAACCUCUGACUAAAAGAUCCGGCACACGCCGAUUAACGAAUCAAGUUACCCCAGGGAUAACAGCGCAAUCCCCUCCAAGAGCCCGUAUCAACAAGGGGGUUUACGACCUCGAUGUUGGAUCAGGACAUCCUAAUGGUGCAGCCGCUAUUAAGGGUUCGUUUGUUCAACGAUUAA
rnacentral:rRNA from 1 species